CGAAGCAUCAGUGAGAAUUCAGGCUGGAGCUGACAGCAGAGGGGAAAGGUCUGUAUCGCCAGAGACUUGCUUCUGAUCUGGAGGGCUCUUCCCUGUUUAGACCAAAUAGGUCUUGGUUGAAUAAUGGUUAAUAGUCAACCUGACAGGAUCUAGAAUCACCCAGAAGACAAACCUCUGGGCACAUCUGUGAGAUAAGGUUUUUUGAUACAGUGACAGAAAGGAAGAAAGAAAGGAAGAAAGGAAGAAAGGAAGAAAGGAAGAAAGGAAGAAAGGAAGAAAGAAAGAAAAAAAAAGAAAGGAAGGAAAGAAGUCAAAACAGUAGCCAUCAAGCAAAUGCAAAUCAAAACCACAUCACCAUAUUAAUAUUUUCUUAUAUAUUAAUAAAAAGAUAGCGAUUUUAUAUAGUAUAUAUAAUUUAGAAAAAUAUUGCAGCAAGUGUCAAGUGUUAUGGACUGAAUUGUGUCCUCUAACAAUUAAUACUGAAGCUUUAACCAUCCCAACUUAAGAGAGGUGAUUAAGGUUAAAUGUCAUCAUAAGGGAAAGUCCCAACCCAGUAUGACAGUCAUCCUUAUGAGAGGAGGAAGAGAUAGGUAUAUGUGCAAAGACUCGGGGCUCAGCAGAGAGGUGCAAACCUGUAAACCGAUCUCUGGAGAGGCUGAGACUGAAAGACCGUCACAAGUUUGAGGCCAUGCCAGUUCUAUAGGGAGACGGUUACUAAAACAAACAAACAAAACUCCAUGCCACAGGGAGAAGACAUCAUCUGCUGAUAACCAUCUUGAAUUUCUACCCUCUAGACCCGUGAGAAAAUAAAAGUUCUGGUCUUUAA